rnacentral:lncRNA from 1 species
ACGAGGCGCGGGGCGCGGAGUGGCAAGAGCGCAGCAUGGGCUGCGCAGAACUGAGGCAGACACCCAGAGGCUGCCAAAUUGUCAUCUGAGCCGGACCGGGUUUCGGCGGCCGCGCUUUAUAGUCGCUGGAGCCUGGUGACCUAUUCCAGGGCUACAAGACUGCCUCGGCAAACAGCCCAAGGAUGUUCGGUUAUCUCGCCUUGAGGGUUCGCGCGUCACGUGCCCCCCCCGUCCCCCGCUUGUUUUUCAGUUUAAAAGUGGGGCCCGUGUCUGCAGGACUCUAGGAGCUGCGGGCCCACCCAUUCACUGAUGUUACCCUCUCCUGUCAUUUCUCCUUUGUGAAGGGCACUGAAAAUCUUGAGUUUUCUUGGGAAAGAGAAGACAUCAAACAGGCAUAUGAGGUAGAGGAUAAUAAAGAAUAUUACCUCCUUUUCAAGUACCUUGAUUUUUUUGAAGUUUUCUCGAAGUUGGUUUACCAGUUUCACAAUAACACAGAGCAACUAGAAGAUCAAAAUUCCUUGUAUGAGGGAAGAGUAUCUGUGGACCAGGCUGAAAUUUCUGAGGGGACUCUAUCACUUUUACUAAGAAAUGUGGAUUUCAUGGAUGAAGCUAUCUACAAGUGCUCAGCCAUCACACCAGAUGGAAGAGGUGAAAGUACAAUUAAGCUAAUAGUAGAAGGUAAGGGAAUUUAUUGAAUGAACUUGAUUUCAAGCUCUGUCUCUAUUCAUAAGUUAUAACAGUGACAACUUAUCUAGUUCUCUCACUUUUCCCCUUUUACUCAAAUUAUUAUCAGUUCUUCUUAUUCCCAACACGUCAAUUCGUCUUAGCUAAAAAUAUUGCCCUGAGCGAAAGAUGCUGUAUCUAUACCUGUAUACAUUAUUCAUUCACACAGACAAACAAAACAUUAACAACAACAACAACAACAAGCACUGGUCUAUCAAAAACUCUCCAAACAAGUUGUAACACUGAAAAAUCAAAAUAUGAUAUAACAGUCUUACAUGAAAACGCUGAGAUAUGACAUAUGGUUUAGUGAGAAGAGCCCCGCAUUGGGAGUCAGGAGGCCCAUAUUCUAAUUUUGGAUGACUUUGGGUAACUCAUUUAGCUUUUCUAGGCUUCACUUUUCUCACUAUUAAAAUGUAGGUUGGACUGGAUCAGUGGAUCUCCGUAGUGAUCCAGGGAUCCUUACCCUUCACAGGAUUGCAUGAAGAGCUUUUCCCCCAUCAGAGACUUUCAGGGAUUGGGGAAGGCAUGGCAGAAUUCCUCCAGGAUAAGAGUUGGAAGACAUGAGAAGGUGGUGGUUGUGAGAAUAAUUCGUUAUCUUCUGUGGUUCUCAGCAGGACUCUGAAAUGCCCCAGGUGCAAUUUGACAGGAUUGAUGAUGAGGAUGUGGCCACAUGCAUCUCAAAGGACUAGUACCUCACGCCCAUUGUGACAUGGCUGGACCGGACAGAGAGGGACCUGAGCAACCACAGCAUCGUGGAAAUCCUGGAGGAGCAGAUGAAUGGCUUCUACAGGGUGUUCUCCAUCCUGAAAUACCCUGUCAAGUUAAAUGAGAAAUAUCUCUGCCACAUAACAGAGACAGAUGUGAACAACCAGCUCUUCAGAAUCAUCCACAAGUAUCCAAGUAAGUGCAAAUCCGAAAGGAACAGUGAAAGUGGGGUGCAUUUCACCACAGAAAAGUCAUCAUUCAUUAAUAUUUACUGAAUGUCAAAUAUAUCAGGCAUGCCUUCGCACUUUGGGGAUUUAAAGAAGCAUCAGGAACAUACGCUUGGAGCCUUGGGCAAGAUAAGGUGGUGAAGUGGAGUCUCUCUGGGCUUGAAAAAAGAACAUGCUUCAGAGACUGACAGCUUUCUCCUGAUAGAUGUGGCUCUUACUAUUGAUGAGGUUUCUUUUCCUCUGCACAGAACAUCAGCUUUAUGACGUGGCAGGCUGAGUAGUCAUAGUGGCCAUUUAUUAGCCUCUCACCAUGUGCCUGGCACUUUACAUAUGUCACUUUAAUCUUUACCUCUAUUUUAAUUGUUAUUACUGCCCCUCUUCUAUAUGAGAAAACCAACAAGUUAAAUAAUUUGACUAAGGACAUAGCUAACAAGCACAAGACUCAGGAUUCAAACCCAUUCUUUCUGAAUCUAAAGUUCAUGCACUUCAUUUUUCUUAUGCAUAUACCACACUGCACUUACAGAUCUAAGACUAUAGACUGCAUGAAUAGAUCUAAGUCAUAUAUGUUUGGAGAAGGGGAUUCCCUGUGUAAUAAGCAAGGAGGCAAGAAAUAGAGUCACUGCUCCCACUCAAAUUCUGAGCAGUCUUUAAGUUGCCGUAUCAAAGGCUGUCUACAUUCUGGGGAAUCUUAAUUGAGUCCUCCAGAGAAAUUUUGAUGGAUACUUUUUUGUGUAGCUGUUCUAUUACUUCUAAACUGUCUAAACUUUUUCAAGUUAGGAAUUUGAAAAAAAAAAGCAUGUUAGAAAAAGAACAGGUAUUUACUGAACACAUACCAUAUGCUAGGGUGGACCCAGGUACUUUUGCAUAAGGUAUUUAACCCCACAAUGACCUCUGAGUUAGAUACUAACAUUACAGUAUUUAGCAGAGGAGGAAACCAAGGCUGAGAGAAGGUUAAGUAUUUACCAAAGGCUACACAGCUGACAGUCUUACAACCCAGGACUUGAACUUGGGUCUAAUUAUUAACAAAGGCCUGGGCACAUUCCACUAUGUGGUUGACUCGUGGGCCUUAAGUUCCUUGUGUCAAAGUAUCUGUAGCCUCAGGCUGAGGUCAUUGAUUUAUUCUGCCACCUGUGACCUCACCUGCCUCUCCAUCAAGAAGGAAGGGAUGGUGAUGAAUACACUUGCACGGUGAGCUAAUUCCUUCUACUUUCCUGUAUCCCUGACUUAGAGAUCUUAUUAAGACUUCUUUGGAGGGUUAGCUCUGGCAGGGACUUUGGCCAUCAUCUACCAAUCACAGCAUAUAGGGGUGACUAAACAGAAGUCCAGAGAGGUGAGAUAAUUGUCCAAGGUAAUACACACUCUAUACAAGAAGUAUUAAUGGAGUCUGACUUCAUGCAAAGGUUGGGCAGUUACCUUUCAGGUCUAGUCUGUAGGGGCCUGGCAAUUAAUCAAAGCAUUCAAAACACUAUUGCAAUCCUGGAUCUCCCAGUAACUAGCCGUAAAUAUUUACAACCGUUAAGAGUAUUUAUUUAAAUUUUUAAUGACUUGGGAAAAUACCCGCACUAUCAUGUUAAAAUUUUAAAAAGCAAAAUAGUAGCUUGUAUGUGUAGCAUGAGCCCCAGUUGUUUAACUAUAUGGAGAUUUAAAAGAUAGGAUGUAUUAUUAUUAUUAUUAUCAUAAUAUGAACAGUAAUUACUGGUAACCUCUGAAUGAUAGGAUUGUAGGCAUUUUUUGUUUUCUCUUUUGUACUUGUGUUUUAUGCAACAUUCUAUAAUGAACAUAUAUUAUUUUUAGUCCAAAAAAGCUAUAUUUUUUAAAUCUUUAAAAAAUAUCUUUAUGAAAAAUGGUUUACAUGCCAUAAAAUUCACCCAUUUGAAGUGUACAAUUUAAUUGUUUUAGUAUAUUCACAAAAUUGUGAAAUCGUCACCACUCUUAUCAUUUAGAACAUUUUAAUUACCCUAAAAAUAAACCUCAUGCUCAUUCACAGUCACUCUCCAUUCCCUUCACCAUAUCCCCCAGUCCUAGGCAACCACUAACCUACUUUCUAGCUAUAUAGAUUUGCCUAUUUUAGAUCUUUCAUAUAACUGAAAUUAUACAAUAUGUGGUCUUUUUAAACUGGCUUCUUUUACUUGGCAUAAUGUUUUAAAGGUUCAUCCAUGUUGUAGCAUAUGUUAGCACUUCAUUUCUUUUUAUUUCUGGAUAAUAGUUUAUUCCAUUAUAUGGAUAUUACCACAUUUUAUUUAUCCAUUCAUCAGUUGAUGAAGAUUUGGGUUGAUUUCACUUUUUGUCUCUGAUGAAUGAUGUUGCUGUGAACAUUCACAUAUAUGUUUUUAUGUGGAAAUUUAUGUUAAAUUUCAUUUAUCUUGGGUAUAUACCUAUGAGUGGAAUUGCUGGGUCAUAUGGUAACUAUUUUUUAACCCUUUGAGGAACUGCCAGACUAUUUUCCAAAGCAGCUGCACAAUUUUACAUUCCUACCAGCAAUGUAUGAGGUUACUGAUUUGUCAACAUCCUUGCCAGCACUCAUGAUCUUUUUUAUUCUAGUCAUUCUAGUAGAUGUGAGUGACAUUUGUGGUUUUGAUUUGCAUCUCUCUGGUGGCUAAUCUUGGGCAUCUUUCAAUAUGCUUACUGGUUAUUUGUACAUCUUCUUUGGAGAAAUGUCUAUUCAAAUUCUUUCUCCAUUAAAAAUGGGUUAUUUAUCUUUUUAUUAUUGAGUUGUAAGAGUUGAUAUAUUUUGAAUACCAAUUCCUUAUCAAAUAUUUGACUUGCAGAAAUUUUCUCCCCUUCUGAGUUGUCUUUUCACUUCUUGAUGAUGUCAUUUGAAGCAGUAAAUUUUCUGAUUUUGAUGAAGUACAAUUUAUCUUUUUUUUUGUCACUUGUGCUUUUGGUGUUAUAUCUAAAAAAUUAUUGCCUAAUCUAAGUCACAAAGAUUUACUCAUAUGUUUUCUUCUAAGAGUUUUAUAAUGUUAGCUCCUACCUCCAGGCUUAUGAUUCCUUUAAAUUAAUUUUUGUUUUUGGCAUGAGAUAGGUGUCCAACAUCCCAGGACCAUUUAUUCAAAAGGCUAUUCUUUCCCCCAUGGAAUUGUCUUGAUGGCCUUAUUGAAAAUCAAGUUACUAUAAAUGUAAAGGUUUAUUUCUGGGCUUUCAAUUAUAUUCCAUUGAUCUAUGUGUCUGUACUUAUGCCAGUACCACACUGUCUUGACUACUAUAGCUUUUUAGUAAGUUUUGUCACAGAGGAGUGUGUUCUUUUAACAUUGUUCUUCUUUUUGAAGAUAGCUUUGAUUAUUCCUAUUUCAGCAUUUUCAUAUGAAUUUUAGGAUGAACUUGUCAAUUUCUGCCAAACAGGCACCUGGGGUUUCAAUAAGGAAUGUAUGGAAUCUAUAGAUUCAUUUUGGGAGUAUUGGCAUUUUAAUGAUACUAAGUCUUCUAUCUAUGAACACAGAUGUCUUUCCAUUUGUUUAGGUCUUUUUAAAUUAUCUUCAAUGAUGUUUGGCAGUUUUCCAUGUAUAAGUCUUACAAUUCUUUUGUUAAAUUUAUUCCUAAGUAUUUUAUUCUUUUUCAUGCUUUGGAAAUGUAAUUGUUUUCUUAAUUUCAUUUUAGAAUGCUUAUUGCUAAUAGAAAGAAAUAACAGUAGAUUUUUGUGGAUUCCUUAGUAUUUUCUAUAUAGAAGACCACGUUAUCUAUGAAUAGAAAUAGUUUUACUUCUUCCUUUCCAAUCUUGAUUACUUGUAUUUAAUUUUCUUUCUAAUUGCCCUGGCUAGAACCUCCAGUACAAUGCUGAAUAGAAAAACUAAGAGUAGAUCUCUGGGAGAAAGCAUUCAAUCUUUCAUCAUCAACUAUGAUGUUAGCUGUAGGUUGUUAUUACUGUAAAUGAACAAUAUCAGGUUGAGAAAGUUCUCUUCCGUUGCUUGUUUUCUGAGUGUUUUUAUCAUGAAUAAAUUUAGGAUUUUGCCAAAUGUAUUUUCUGCAUCUGUUGAGAUGAUCAUGUGGGCUUUGUCCUUUAUUCUAUUAAUAUGAUAUAUUGCACUAAUUAAUUUUUGUAUAUUGAGCCAACUUUGUAUUCCUGGGAUAAACCCUACUUGGUCAUGGUAUGUAAGUCUUUUUCUAUGUUGGUAGAUUCAGUUUGGUGGUAUUUUGUUGAGGCUUUUUGCAUCUGUAUUCAUUUGUAAGAGAUAUUGGUCUGUAGUUUUCUUGUGAUGUCUUGGUCUGGUUUUGUUAUGAGGAUAAUAUUGGCCUCAUAGGAUAAGUUGAAAUGUGUCCCUUAUCUUCUGUUUUUUGGAAAAGGUUGUGCAGGAUUGGUGUUAAUUUUUCUUUUAAUUCUUUAACUUUUGGUUUUGUUUAUUUUCCCUAUUUUUCUAUUCUCUAUUUCAUUUACUUCCAUUCUAGCCUUUGUUAUUUCCUUCCUUCUACUUGCCUUGGGUUUAGUUUUAAUUUCUUUUUCUAGUAAUUUCAUUUAAAAGAUUAGGUUAUUGCUUUGAGAUCUUUCUUUUUUUUUAACGUGUUUUUGUUUAUUAUACUUUUAAGUUUUAGGGUACAUGU